rnacentral:rRNA from 1 species
UACGGGGGGGCAAGCGUUGUUCGGAAUUACUGGGCGUAAAGGGCUCGUAGGCGGCCAACUAAGUCGGACGUGAAAUCCCUCGGCUUAACCGGGGAACUGCGUCCGAUACUGGAUGGCUUGAGUUCGGGAGAGGGAUGCGGAAUUCCAGGUGUAGCGGUGAAAUGCGUAGAUAUCUGGAGGAACACCGGUGGCGAAGGCGGCAUCCUGGACCGACACUGACGCUGAGGAGCGAAAGCCAGGGGAGCAAACGGGG